rnacentral:piRNA from 1 species
UCUACAGAUUGGUGGGCAAUACAUUCACUA